rnacentral:lncRNA from 1 species
GAUGUACGGAAAAUUCAUUGAAAUCCAUAAAUUGUGUUCUGCUGAUUUACCGUUAGAGACCAAUAUGAAGAUGCUAAACUUUAUGAAAAGAUUUGGUAAAACUCCAUUUGGAAUAAGCAUCGGCGGAUUCUUUUAUGUUAAGAAAAACUUCUUCAUUCGAUUUCUGAGUGCCAUAUAUUCGUCGCUGUCUGUAUUGACGGAACUUUUAAUUGCAAAGAAACCAACUUCUUGUAAAGUUGAGAUUACAGAUCUCAUUCAAUAAAGCUAUUAAAUUAAAUUGCGUCCCAGGCUGACUUGAAAGUUUGAAUGACCAGACUUAUUACAACGAAAUGAGAUAUUUUUGUGUUCGAGAAAAGAAGUCGAUUGUAGACUUAUCAGAAAGAUUUGAAAUCUCAAACAAGUCAAAGAAAAUACUCCUUACGAAACUUGAAGAUUUGACUUUCGACUCUUUCGUAGAAAGUUAUGACAUCCGUUCGACAAUAAAUUUAUGC